UACGUAGGGGCAAGCGUUGUCCGGAAUCAUUGGGCGUAAAGAGCGUGUAGGCGGCCUGAUAAGUCGGCUGUGAAAGUCAAGGGCUCAACCCUUGAAUGCCGGCCGAUACUGUCGGGCUAGAGUCCGGAAGAGGCGAGUGGAAUCCUGGUGUAGCGGUGGAAUGCGCAGAUAUCAGGAGGAACACCAAUGGCGAAGGCAGCUCGCUGGGACGUACUGACG
rnacentral:rRNA from 1 species